AAUUAAUAAGAAGGCAAUAAACAAAAACACAAUCAAGAAUCACAUAUCUGCAAUAGUAUCGUUACAGCUUUCAUUCUUGAGUUGCGCAAUUUUUAUUCCUCCUUUUUAUCUUCUAGGCUAACUUUGCCCAUAUUUUUAUUCACAAGAGCCAUUUGUUGAUCAGUUGGCUUCAUUGCAGGGAAAAGAAGUACUUCCUUGAUAUUA
rnacentral:ribozyme from 16 species